rnacentral:ncRNA from 2 species
AUAAAGAUGUAGGGGAACCAGUCAUGCUGGUUGAAAGUGUAUCCUUUAAGAUACUGACCCUUUGAACCUGAUCUGGCUCAUACCAGCGUAGGAAACAUUUGUGACGAUUAC